rnacentral:lncRNA from 1 species
GGAAAUUUGCUAGCAGGACUCUCUUGCUCUGCUGAGAGGCAUUUCUGAGAUGAAAGAAGUGGGCCCUGCCAUUGAACAGAAUUUAUGCAUUUAAAUAUUCAUCAUUUCUGUGAAAAAGAGAAGAAAAAUUAGGUGAUGACGUCAGUCCGUGCUUCGGAAAUAGUCGUUUGCCAGGGAAGACGGCUCAACCAGCAAACACCUAAAGGGCUUUUGAAACUCUCUAAAUACAAGUUUUUAGAAACGACGAGGCAUUGAAAACUUACCACAUGACCUUGUGCAAGUUGCUUAACACCACUAAGCCGCCGUGUCUUCUCAGUUUUAAUCGGGGAUAAUACUGCAUCCUCUUAAAGAGUUUUUUUGAGAGGAUUUGAUGAGAAACUCUAUGUAAGUCACUUAGUAUGCUGCCUGGAAUGUAGCAAGAACUUGAUCGAUGAUUAACUAUUAUGGAAGUUUUUUUGUUUUAUUUU